AUUCAAACAGUUAAAUGCAAUUUUUUAGUCGAGCAAUCAGAUAAAAAUUGAACCCCUCCAACUUUCAGGUGGUAGUAUAAUUUUCCAGCAAGUGGCAAGGUUGAUGAUUUUGAUGAUGUCACAGAAACUACUGCUGAUGUAGGGGUGAACAAUUCGUCUAAUAAGGCUAAAUUAGCAUAACUUUUUAAAUGAAGAUGGGUGUAAUUAGAAGUUAACAUUACUUUUCACAAGCAAGAUGCUGAGGACAUUCAUCUUCAGGUAUCUCUAUAUUUAUGCUUUGUUUAGAAGUUAUAAUGCAUAUCAGAA